AAAAAAAUAAAACCCAUCAUUUCCCACCAGUCUGCGCACCGACGGAUCGUUCAAAACAUUACGCAUCGCGGCCGGAGCCCCGCUGCACUACUCGACUGAAGUGAAACCUCACCGGGCCCCGGGGAGCGGACACGUUGCGGACAAACGCCAUCAUCGCAGGUUGCAGGAGCAUCUGCACGGAGCAAAGGCGGCGUUUUAGACGACAGCAACAAAAACAACAACAAAAAAAUAAAGAAACGAAAAAAGGUCUCCGCGGCGGGCGCAUCAUCGGCGCCACACUGCUCUACGCUUUUAGCCUCUUUACAGUGCUGCCUUGUCUGAUCAGGUUCAAGCAGCAUUGUACAGGGCUAUGACAGCAUAGAGAGCCGAGCUUCUCUGACCCUUUGGAUGGCAGCCACCCAAUGACCUCAUCUGCGAAGAACUCCGAACGGCGAGGAUGGCGCGUGAGCGGAGAUGUUGCCGAUUUGAGUGAUUUGUCUUGUUGUUGUUUUGUUUGGUUUUUUUUGCAUGCCGAUGUGGUCUUAAAAAAAAAAAUGACAUGCGUUGCUUUUGUUGUUGGGCUUGAGGAAAAACUGGAGCACAUGGAGAUCUCUCUGGGUUGAAUUAUUCAAAGCAAAUUUAAAUCCCUCUGCAGCCGAUGCAUUAUUGAACCAAUUAGUCACAUCGCAUGCUGCGACUGGAUUCACCCAUCUGCACUGUCUCCGUUUCCCCAUCAAGAGCUGCUGCUGUUCUGAACAAGCCGUUUCCCAAAACCGUCGGAUAUGCUGAAGCACCUUGAUUUAAAACCGUUUUAAUUAACAGUUUUUAAAAAAAAGCAGUUUAAACAGGAGAGGGUUUUUUGGAGUCCUGAGCUGUAGGGCUGUCUUUCAUCUCAGAAUAAAAAAAACGAUCACCACAUUCCUCACUGACAAAUCCUAUUGACCCAAAUGUGACAGCUUCAAAAGCCUGUUUUUCUGUCCAACCAAAAGUCAUAUUUAGUUUAGUAUCACGGUCAAGAGAUGAAAAAAAAAACAGGAAACCCUCACAGUUGAGAAGGUAAAACUGAUUUAUUUUUGCUUGAAAAAAGACACUUGAUUAUCAAAAUAGUUGCCUGUUUUUCAAUCAUAUCACAUUAUCUCUUAUGUAGCACCAGAAAUAUAUUGUGUACUAUUAAAAUGUUUAAAAGCA